GAGAUGGCGUCGCAAAAGAAAUUGGUGUGUAUAUUUCAGAUAUAGGUAGUAGAUACUAGUUUACUUUACACGUGGUGUUUUGAAAUCCUUUGUUUUUUCGUGCUGAAGAUUUUAGGAAAAAUGACGAGGGAAAAAAACGAAGAGUGGCAAACUGGGAAAAAUGGCAAAAUUCAUUUAAACUGACGUAAUAUCUAUCAACAACAUAAUAUAUUUUAAGAUUUAAAAAAACAAACGAACACGACAGCAGUUCGAACGGAAGAAGUAAUAAUAAUUUAAUUCUCCCUUGACUCAUGGAUUGACGAACAAGGAUUAUCAUGAUAUUAGACAGGAGCAGUGAUUUCCACUUUGUGAAGAUCCAUCAAGAAGAGGCGGUUGGCUGUGCACGUAUUGUUAAUGCCAUUUUGUCCUUACACCGUUUUGUGAAGCAGUGAUAAAAUUGUUUGUUGGGUCAUGUCCAAAAUACGAACAAAGUUAGGAAGUAAUUACGUAAUUUAUUAGGAAUGAAGGUAACUAAAUGUGUACCAAAUGCAAACAUGUGGAAUGUAGGAUACAAAAAAAUGCCAGAAACUUGCGUAGAUGGCCCCUAAUAUUGAAUGAUGUGAGUUUAUCCUACACCUAAUGGACUCCUAAAAGUGGUCACUAAUUGGCCUAUUUCCAGAAAUAUAUAGUCAUAUCCUUUAAUGACUUAUCAACAAGACAAAUAUCUACUUAAUUGAUGUUCCUAUAUAAUACUUUAUAAAAUAAUUUAUCAUGAGGUCAAGACAGCCACAAAUAUUGAUAUUAAACAAAUUGUCAAACUAUGUAAUUUUUCAACUCAACAGUACAAUUUUGAUUACUUAAAUAACAACA
rnacentral:lncRNA from 1 species